rnacentral:lncRNA from 1 species
GAAAUGUUAGGACAGAGUGAAAGACAGUUUAAAUUAUUUCUCUGUUAACAGGAAUAGAUGUCUUGAAUACAUUAACAGAUAUCUAAUUUAGAAAUAUUUUUAUACAAAAAAAAAGUUAAAAAAGCCCCAAACCCCAGAGCAAUACAAUUCUGCUUAGUCAAUAAGUCUUUGCUUACCCUGGAUAGUCUCAAAGAUAAUUACCCUUGGAAAAAAUAAGUCAUUUAUUGAGGUUUUCCCCUCCCAACUAAUUUAUCCUGACUGCUCUUGCAAUGAAAUUAAAAUCUCUUUCUCUAUUUAGGAUUUAAAAUAAUCUAUUGCCUGAAACCAGCCAUCAGAAAUCCACAUUAUAAUUUUGCUUAAAGAGCAAAGAGGACUAGAUAAAGCGAGAUAAGUCCCUUCUUUGAGAUACAAUUAUCUUUCAUAGCUUAAAAAGAAAAGAACAAUGGUGUAUGAAAUAUACUCUAAAUGAUUAAAUACUGCAACAUGAAAAUCAGCCUGUAACAAAAACCCACUCCAGAGAAUAUUCCUGAAUACCAAUAUCAUCACUUUCUCACAUGAUCAGAAUUCAGGACUUGCACAUUCCUCCACACCAGGUGUUAACUACCCCAGUAAAGCUGAUAAUGUUUCUAUCUUGCAGCAAUAACAAAAAGAUGGAUCACUUUCUUGGCAGUCUUAGGAAGGAGCUACAAUGCCAAAUUAUAAUGUUGGUUUAUUCCUUCCAUUUCCCUGUUCAGCAUUGUUUUUAUUCCUAAACUCAAUAGUUCAAUUAAGAACUAAUACCUGGAUAAGUUCCUGUCUGAGAACUGAUAUCACCAUGAUGUUUUUCAGACAUUAUUCCAGUGGAGCACUUGAAAGCAGAGCUGAAGGUGUGUUGAGUUUAUACAUCUACAUUUAUACAUGAGGCCAUUCCUCACUGACAAGUUAAUGACUGUCCUUUGCCAUAAACUUCUUCAAGCUACUGCAGGAACAGUCAAUAUCAGCCAGUGUGAUGAAAAACCCGAAUUACUUGGUGCAGUUUUCAGCUAAAAUGUAUAAACAGGCAUGAUAAUUAAAGAGAUUAUUAAAAAGAUGGAUCAUUUGAAGCCUAUUCUCUUAAUACUUCUCUCUUCCUUGGCCUAGCUUAGCCCCUGAAAAGGAAGCUCAAGAAUAAGGAAAUGAGAAGAAGGAAAAACAGUGGGAGGACUGCGUUUAUUUAAAAAAAAAAAAUAAAAAAGUUGUGAAGUUUUGAGCUUCA